rnacentral:tRNA from 1 species
AGGUCCAUAGUAUAGUGAUUAGUAUGUCUGCUUUACAUGCAGAAGGCCCUGGGUUCAUGCUUCAGUGGAGCCA